GUGCUUGCUUAGGCAGCACAUAUACUAAAAUUGGAACUAUACAGAGAAGAUUGCAUGGCCCCUGCACAAAAAUGACACACAAAUUCAUGAAGCAUUCCAUAAUUUU
ensembl:snRNA U6 U6 spliceosomal RNA